GAUUUAAAGGAGUAAUCCCCAUCAUUGACACCACAAAUCAAUAUUUUAUUUUUAAACUAUUUAAAU
rnacentral:tRNA from 1 species